CACGGUUCAAGCUGCGCGGUUUCUCCAUGCUGCGUGUAAUUUACAGCAGCAUUUUUAAACAUAAAAGGUCUUUUCAUAGUCAUUCACCAGCACGCAUGAGGGAAAUGUUGAUUUGUCUCUUCUGUGCUGUCACCUAAAUCGUUAGCUGUAGUCAUUACGCUAGCGUACGCGUAGUGUCUGUGUAUAUCAGUUGCCUAGCAACAGUGUUCUUCGAUCGUACAGCUUCCCUGGUUUUCAUAACUGUGCUUCUGUUUUUAUUUGUUUGUUCGUUUAACUCCUCCAUAGUGGAUUUCUAAAUCUGUUAGAGUUUGUUUGUUUGUUUGUUCGUUCGUUUGUCUACUUAUUUAUCACAAUCUUCCACAGUGGAGAAGUUCUACAGCAUUUUUAAUGUUGUUUGUUUGUUCGUUUGUUUGUUUUUUGUUGCCUGGAACUGUUCCGUCAUUCUUUGAUUUGUUUGCGUAUUCAUUUAUUUAUUUAUUUUUUUAAUUCAUCUACUUGUGCGUCUGAAUCUUCCAUACUGGAGACUUCGAGCACAUUGUUAAUGGUGUUUAAAUCGUUUGUUUGUUUAUUUGUUUGCUAGCUGGGUUGUUCGAAUCUUCCGUAGUGGCGACUUUUAGAACUGCGGUUCGGGUUUUUAAUUAAUUAAUUAAUUAAUUAAUUAAUGACUUUUUAAUGAGUUUUACUGCUCGUGGAAUUUCAUUAACAAAACUGGGAGAAGUUUAACAGACGUUUACCGAGUGUACUGUAUGUCUGUGUGAGGUCUUUAAAAUCAUACCACCACCCAUGAGAACAUCCUGCAUGGACCACAGGAGGGAGGUGUGUGUGUGUGUGUGUGUGUGUGUGUGUGUGUGAGAGAGAGAGAGGAGAACGUUCUGGGCUAUGUGCGUGACCGUGAUGUGGGAAUCCGGCUCCGUGGUGGUGAUCUUUUCACCUUUUGCUGUUGGAUGGUUGCCACACUGUGACAUUAAGUACUGUUGAUUGAUACCGAAUGCAUGCACACACACACACACGCACACACACGCACACACCCCAAACAAGAGCACGUAUGUACAGGAGGAACAGUUGACACAAAACAGAGCACCCAGCAUUUGUGCGAGAGCAUGUUAUUUAAGUAAGAAGGUGUGUGUGUAUUGUAGGAGCUCUUUGCUGCGUGUAAACACUCUGAGGCUAUUUGUUUGCCUCUUCUUCCCUGUGUGUGUGUGUGUGUGUGUGUGUGUGUGUGUGUGUGUGUGUGUGUAUUGAUUCCUUCUGUCCAUCUCUCUAGCUCUGACCGAACAGCUGGUUAGGUGCAGGAUGUGACACGCGAUGACCGUAUUACUCACAUUUCCUGAUUUGUAGCACGUCUUGUCCUUUCGCGACAGCACAUGAUGGUAACAUCUCAACAAGCUCGGGAUCUCAAGUAAACAUGUACCUUUUUAUUUAAGAUCCCCCGAGUAAACAGAAGUUCCGUGAGAAGCCGCAGGUCGUUAACGAAUCCCUCGUGAGCGAGUCUCAAAACCACCUAAUCGAAGACGUUUCCACUAGAUCAAGAAGGUUGCAAUAUGUUUCCUGCGUCCUAUAAAACGUAUCACGCUGUCGGUCGCUACGGUUCGAGUCCUUCAGCUAAUGAAAUCAGUGCUACAUGUGACAGAUGUUGUUGUGUUUUGGUUACAGUAUGAAGGAGCUGAAACUACAGCCAGCCCUACAGGCUGAAUGUCAGCUUGAGUGAGCUUUAUAUACGCCUGAGUGGCUGAAGAUGGAUCCAUUCAUCUAAAACGUCCAGCUCGGUUAACAUCACUCCUGACGCAACACGCGCACCAACCUAAUCAAGGCCAGAAACACACCCUGUACACAUAACGCUACCUGCAACCUGAAUCUAGCUGAGUGCGAGCUGAAAAGAAACCCGUCCAGCAUUGCCAGGAAAACACACACACACACACACACACACACACACACACACACACAGACCAGACUCAUCAUUAUUGCUGCGUCCCAAUUCGCCUACUAUCCGUCCUAAAUACCACCCGAGGUUAGAAUUAGCACGCCCCAGAUCGUAGUAUAUUCAAACGAGUAUCCCGAAGGUACCCGGAUGGUCUACUAUUUCCUGUAGGUUUUCCAAGCGUGGAUCCGUGGACACUUUUUCAGCUAAUAUUACCCACAGAUCCUUGCGCGAGUGCAGGAGGAGGAGCUUUUGUGACGAUUUGCUUCACCCGAAUCCAACCUGGCGGACGAGUGUAACGUCUGUGACGCGUCAUAAGCGUAAGAACUUGACUGUUAAGCACUAACCGACGUUUUUUUUUUUUUUAUCGUCACGUAAGAUUAAUGUUGCGGAUGUUGUGUAAAAAGAGUACCAUGUUUAUCACUUUAAAAAAUUAUACAUUUAAAUAAAGAAAGAAAUCAAGGGAACGGGAAAUUAAAUGACGUACGUUUUAUAACGCAAUGCGACGAGGAGUUUGUUUACGGUGACGGCGUGCGUAACUAGGCAACGACGUUCUCCUCCGUUACACGACGUGUUAGCAUGUCCCAGUACUUGCGUACUAUUUUUGCUACACACUCAGUAAUAUGCGUCUUUCUUCACAAAAAGGAGUACAUACUUUUAGCUCAUGGUAUAAGUUUUUUUUUUUUUUUAAGGCGUGGUCACCGUCAGUGGGUCAGUUUGAUAUUUAGCGCUUAGAGUUCCGUGAAGCUUGAAACAGGGUGUAAUGUGACGGUUCCUUUUCCAGAGUCGCACGGAUCAUCACUGGACGCAAAAUCGUGACCGGUGUAUUCGUGUGGGCCGGAGAUCGGUUAUCGGUUAACCACAGCUUUUGGCGUGGUGCGUCCUAAAUGAGUUUAAUUAAAGUGUGAACAACCCUACAUAAAUGGUCUGCACUUAUAUAGCACUUUUUUAACCUUCGCGGUUCUACACUGGUUCUCAUUCUCCCAUUCACACACCAGUGGUAGCAGAGCUGCCAUGCAAGGCGUUAACUUGCCAUCGGGAGCUACUUGAGGUUCAGCGUCUUGCCCAAGGACACUUCGGUAUGUGGAGUCACGUGGGCCGGGAAUCGAACCGCCAACCCUAUGGUUAGUGGACCACCCGCUCUACCACCUGACCCACAGUGAUGUUUACAUCCCAUUUUAAAGGUGAUCUAGUUAAUAAAGUUCUCCCGCUAAACACGGAUCUCGUUGCAAAUUUUUCCCAACUUAUUUAACGUCUAUUACUUUAACUGGAUUUUUUUUUUUUUUUUUUUUUUGCGCCAUGUUUUAAAACGCUAGUACACGCCCGGACAAGUAGACUGUGUUUUGUGUAAGAAGUACUUGAUAUAAAUUGGUCCCCUUAAGUUAUUGUGAUGGUUACUGUCAAUAUCCUUUGUUUCUACCUGCUGUGCGAGGCAAUGAAACUGGUGUAACUGAGUUUCGGGAGCGCGUGAGGAGCAGGCUGUAUUUUUAGCUGAUUGCUGUUUAUGGCCGAUUUCUCCGACAGGCAGCUGGUCUCUCUCUGCCCUCUUAUUGUUUGAUCCAGGCUGAAGUGUGCUGAGACUAAAUCUCAUUUUUAUGCACUUUAUUGCUUUUUGCGCGAGUGGUGGCAGGGGGCCUCGGAUCUGCUGCUGGAAUGGAGAGAACGAUGGGGAGGCGAAGGGAGGCAGGAAGCAGCUGGAGCUCUGAUCGAGUUCUUUUGGCUUUGAUUGACACGAUGAUGAUGAUGAUGGUGAUGGUGGAGCUGUGGUCACGGCUGUGGUAUGGUAAUCUAUGGUAAACGUUUAUGGUUUAUUGUGGCAUCUAUGGAAAUGAUUUGUGGUACACUCCGAUAGAAGACCAAGCCUUUUGACGUUGAAAUCCACUCCGUGCAAAGCAUAAAGUCAGUACAAAAGAUGGGUCUAGAAAGCCAGUGCGUCUUUCCUAGUGAUGUAUCAGCUUCCUUUCAUACAAACCCUCUCAAUAAUGAAAGAAAGUUGCUGGUGUAUUAAUUACAUCUAUGGAGUGUGGCAAAAUGAUCCCAUAUGAUCUGUUUUCUCCUACCUGGGCGGAGUCAAGCCUAAAGUCCAGGAGGUAGAGACAACUCGGUGUGUUUCGGGCUGUAUAAGUGUGUUUCGUGGUGUUCUGUACAGUGUUGUGUGGGUUGGCGGUUAGGAUUCGGACGGAAUUUCUAACCUCACCCUUUUGCAUAAGUACUAAUCCCUCUUUGAGAGACCGAUCCGUUGUAUUUUAUGCGGAUUUGGGCGCGUCACGUGACCUCAUCGCGACGCGCGUUCGUCCGAAGCCCUCGUCGAUUCAUGAGUGCAGCUAAAACGUCUCGUUUACCAACAAACAUCACUGCGGAAACGAUUGCAGUUUCGGCAGUUCAGAUAGUCUUCCGCCCCCCAAAAAAAAACAAAAAAAAAAAGCACUACAAAUAGAACAUUUUUGGCCACAAUGGUUCGAUCUCAUUAGUAAAAUCAAUAGAAUUAUGUUUACUGUUGAAUGCGUGUCUCCUUGUUGUCGUGACAUUAAGUGUGUUUAUCAGAGGACAGGAAUUUCAAGUUGAAUGACGUCCCGUUGCACUUUUCUUUCUCGCAAGUGUUUUUUUUUUCUUUCUUUCCCUCGAGUGCAAUAGAUUGCAGGAUAAAUUUGCACUCGGACCCUGGCGUUCUCAUACCUGCGUACUGUCGAGUUAUGCAACCAGCUCUGAAUUGCAUCCGUUUUCACUGUACCGUAACAACAUACUCCAUCUUCUCCCUAAUUCCAUAGCAACGUUUUCACCCGUCCAGCUCUUGAAGAGGUUUUUUUUUUUUGUAUGUUUCAUACGUUGCCAAUCGUUUUCUGAAGGUAAAUGUCACCUGUCGAUUACGACUCAGCUUUAGAAAGCGACUGAGAUUUGUGUCUCUCUCUCUCUCGUUGUGAAGAUACAAACCUGAUUUUAAGUGACUGGCAAGAGGGAGCUUAAGACGACUCCGAAAUGGACGAACUAAAUGUCACAGCGAUAAGGAGACCGAGCAUCCUUCUCCUGUCCUUUUGGCAGAAACCUGAAGUGCUUAGGAGUGCUGAUAGCAGGAGCUCUAAUAUUCCACCUACACCUCUCUGUCUUUCAUUCCCUCCUCCUCCUCCUCCUCCUCUUCCUCGUCCUCCUCCUCCUUGUCCUCCUCCAGGCCCUCGUUUGCCCCGCCGUACACCGUAUGCAGAUGAACACUCGGCUGUUUUGCCGGCGAGCAACAAUGAGGGCGCUAAAAACGGAUCGGUGGGUAAAGGAGCUCUCCAACCUCCGAACAUAAAUGAGAGGGGAGCGCCAACAUGAAAAUUCAAAUAGUGGGCAAUGAGACCUGCGUUCCUGCCUUUGAAUCGGAGCUCUUCUUUUCCCGGAACAAGGCUGCUGGUGAAUGGACGUUUGAGAAAAAUCUAAUCACAGGGUAUAAUAUAUGAGAUGUGUGUUUUGUUGUUUUUUUUUUUUUUUUUUUUUUUUUUCCUCCCCCCUCAAAACAUCAAAUGUAAUUAUAGAAGCUUGGGUCCAUUCAGCAUCCUGGAUUACUUGUAUAAUUUCCU